AUUUAAUCUCUUUGGAAUUCCAUAUAUUGGAGCUGAUAUAUGUGGGUUUAAUGAAGAGACAACUUAUGAACUUUGCCUUCGUUGGAUGCAACUUGGGGCAUUUUAUCCCUUUUCCAGAAACCAUAAUGCAAUUGGAAAUAAGGAGCAAGACCCUGGGGUAUUUGGAGAAGAGUUUGCUGCUAUUUCCCGUUCUGCAUUAAGGAUUAGAUACU